ensembl:lncRNA
CGGGCGCAGGAGGGCCUAGAGGAGCUAUCCCACGUUGAAGGUCAGGAAGGGCAGCAGUGAGGAGAUACUCCUCGUCCAAGGUAAGGAGCAGUGGCUGCGCUUUGCUGGAGCAGCUGUGAAGAGAUACCCCACGCCCAAGUGUGUGCCAGCACCAGCCAUUCUUGGAAGGAAAGGAUACCCAAGGAAAAGGAGUUAAGAGCCAAGAGUGUAAUUCAUGUCCAUCCCUCAGUGCUGGAGAUCCCUGGUCAGAAGAGCAUGGAGGCUUCCCAGGUGGCGCUGGUGGUAAAGAACAUGCUUGCCAGUGCAAGAGAUGUAAGAGAUGCAGGUUUGAUCCCUGGGUCAAGAAGAUCCCCUGGAGGAGGGCAUGGCAACCCACUGCAGUAUUUUUGCCUAGAAUCCCAUGAACAGAGGAGCCUGAUGGGCUACAGUCCAUAGCGUUGCAAAGAGUUGGACACGACUGAAGCAACUUAGCAUAGCAUAGCACAGUCAGAGCAUGACUCUGAAGAGUUGACUAGCCUCAUUAAGGCCCUGACACGUGUUUUAAGUUUCAUUUUCCCUGGCCCUGGGGAAGAUGCUAAAGCAGCUGAGUAGACAGCAGCUGUGGACAGAGCCCUUCCUGGGGGGCUCACUCAGUGACUCUUCCCUUCAGAUUGAUCCUCUGUGUGCUGCUGGUGCUAUUGCUUGGAGAGGAGGAGGCUGGCCUGCCUCUGAGAGCUCCCAGUCCUGGUCCCCAGGCCAAGCACAGCCUCAGACCCCCUGAGCCAGAUUCACCAGGGGCUCCUGCUCUGAGAUGCAUUGAAUCAGCGUCUGCAAUGUCAGUCCUGGUGUCUGCGUGCUUGAAGGCAGAUGCCGAGAGUUUUACACACACUUGGGCUUCAGGCUUGGGCACCAUUUUGGAGAUGCUGAGGAGCUUGCGUCCUCCAAGUGAGCCAAAAGUUCUCCUCACGGGAGCAUCCCAAGUGCUUCGCCGACAUUCCUUCCCUUCAUUAGUGUUUUUGGUUUCCGUUGGAGCCACUCAGCCAGGGACUUGCUCAGGAAAGCAGAUGCGGAUGCUGCUGUCACUCCAUCUUCCAGGAAUGUGGGAGGUCAUCCUGGGCGUCCUCCAUCUUCUGAGAAGUGGGCUGUCCUGCUGAUUGAGACAGUGAGAACCCCCAGAACAACUGGGUGGUUUCCAAGGGCUGCACAGGCCCCAGGUCCUGAAAGCAGCACUUAUGGCAGUUGCCGAGGAGAACAGAACACCUUGCAGAGAGCCCCAAGCUGGAGGAGAUGGCAAUCACAGUAGAAUCUAUAUAAAGGAGGGCCUGGAAGCAGUCGAGCUGGACAGAGGCUCUGUGAGGUGGAAACUAUCUUGCACCUCCUGCCAGGCUGAGAAAACUCGAGUUGUCCAUCUCAAAUGCAGGGUCAGGUGUGCAGAUGGAGAAUUGGAGUCAGCACCACAGGCCCUGGUGGUUGAGGGAAUGAGCCUCCUCUCAGGUCCAACCUAAUGAGCCACACAGGAGUGCAUCCUGGGCUGAAAAGAACCUCUGAUUUUUUUCACAGAAAUUGAAAAUCCUGAUUUCGUAUAAAAUCUCCCAAUAUUUAAUAAAAUGUUGGCAACUAAUUUAAUUUACAAACAAUAUUCACAGCCAAAUCACUAUGUCUGCUAGCCAAAUGUAGCCUGUGGCUGUUUGUGGCCCCUGUCAUUGGCUUUAUCUAAGAGGCAACAGCUCCAUGAGGAGUGAGCAUGGGCUUGGUCAGAACCAUGCCCUCUAGUGGGCAGCCUCACAGGCCAGGGCUGAAGGCCAGACCCCUCAGAACUGACAGGACAGACGCUGGGGUGUGGGGAGGGAUAAUCUAACCUUCGAGGACCCAGCUGCAUGGGGGCAUGCUUGGCUAGGAGCCUUCCUUUAUACUUUCAACAAAUAUCUGACUAUCUGCUCUAUGCCAGGCAUGGGAUUUGGUAGUAUAUUAACUUUCUAUGACUGCUAUAACAAAUCACCACCAAUUUGCUGGCUUAAAAAAGUUUUCUCAGAGUUCUCUCUCACAGUUCUCUCUCACAGUUCCCUCACAGUUCCCUCACAGUUCUCUCUCACAGUUCCCUCACAGUUCCCUUACAGUUCUCUCUCACAGUUCUCUCUCACAGUUCUCUCUCACAGUUCCCUCACAGUUCCCUCACAGUUCUCUCACAGUUCUCUCUCACAGUUCUCUCUCACAGUUCUCUCUCACAGUUCCCUCACAGUUCCCUCACAGUUCUCCCACAGUUCCCUCUCACAGUUCUCUCUCACAGUUCUCUCACACAGUUCUCUCUCACAGUUCCCUCGCAUUUCCCUCACAGUUCUCUCUCACAGUUCUCACAGUUCCGUCACAUUUCCCUCACAGUUCUCUCUCACAGUUCUCUCACAGUUCCCUCACAGUUCUCUCACAGUUCCCUCACAGUUGUCUCACAGUUCUCUCUCACAGUUCUCUCUCACAGUUACCUCACAGUUCCCUCACAGUUCUCUCUCACAGUUCCCUCACAGUUGUCUCACAGUUCUCUCUCACAGUUCUCUCUCACAGUUCCCUCACAGUUCCCUCACAGUUCUCUCUCACAGUUCCCUCCAGUCCCCUCACAGUUCCUCACAGUUCUCUCACAGUUCCCUCACAGUUCUCUCUCACAGUUCCCUCCAGUCCCCUCACAGUUCCCUCACAGUUCUCUCUCACAGUUCCCUCACAGUUCCCUCACAGUUAUCUCACAGUUCUCUCACAUUUCCCUCACAGUGCCCUCACAGUUCUCUCUCACAGUUCCCUCAAAGUUCUCUCUCACAGUUCCACACAGUUCUCUCACAGUUCUCUCUCACAGUUCCCUCAGUUCCCUCACAGUUCCCUCACAGUUCUCUCUCACAGUUCCCUCACAGUGCCCUCACAGUUCUCUCUCACAUUUCCCUCACAGUUCUCUCUCACAUUUCCCUCACAGUUCUCUCUCACAUUUCCCUCACAGUUCUCUCUCAUAGUUCUCACAGUUCCCUCACAGUUCCCUCACAGUUCCCUCACAGUUCUCUCACAGUUCCCUCACAGUUCUCUCACAGUUCUCUCUCACAGUUUCCUCAGAGUUCCAUCACAGUUCUCUCACAGUUCUGUCACAGUUCUCUCACAGUUCCCUCACAGUUUUCUCACAGUUCUCUCUCACAGUUUCCUCAGAGUUCCCUCACAGUUCUCUCACAGUUCCCUCACAGUUCUCUCUCACAGUUUCCUCAGAGUUCCCUCACAGUUCUCUCUCACAGUUCCUCACAGUUCUCUCUCAUAGUUCUCACAGUUUCCUCACAGUUCUCUCUCACAGUUCCCUCACAGUUCUCUCUCACAUUUCCCUCACAGUUCCCUCACAGUUCUCUCUCACAGUUUCCUCAGAGUUCCAUCACAGUUCUCUCACAGUUCUGUCACAGUUCUCUCACAGUUCCCUCACAGUUCCAUCACAGCUCUCUCACAGUUCCAUCACAGUUCUCUCACAGUUCCAUCACAGUUCUCUCACAGUUCCCUCACAGUUCUCUCACAGUUCCCUCACAGUUGUCUCACAGUUGUCUCUCACAGUUCUCUCUCACAGUUCUCUCUCACAGUUCUCUCUCACAGUUCUCACAGUUCCCUCACAGUUCCCUCACAGUUCCCUCACAGUUCCCUCAGUUCUCUCACAGUUCUCUCUCACAGUUCUCUCUCACAGUUCUGACAGUUCACUCACAGUUCUCUCUCACAUUUCCCUCACAGUUCCCUCACAGUUCUCUCUCACAGUUUCCUCAGAAUUCCAUCACAGUUCUCUCACAGUUCCCUCACAGUUCUCUCACAGUUCCCUCACAGUUGUCUCACAGUUGUCUCUCACAGUUCUCUCUCACAGUUCUCACAGUUCCCUCACAGUUCCCUCACAGUUCCCUCACAGUUCUCUCUCACAGUUCUCUCUCCCAGUUCUGACAGUUCCCUCACAGUUCUCUCUCACAUUUCCCUCACAGUUCCCUCACAAUUCUCUCUCACAGUUUCCUCAGAGUUCCAUCACAGUUCUCUCACAGUUCUGUCACAGUUCUCUCACAGUUCCAUCACAGUUCUCUCACACUUCCCUCACAGUUGUCUCACAGUUGUCUCUCACAGUUCUCUCUCAUAGUUCUCUCACAGUUUUCUCGCAGUUCUGGAGGCCAGAAGUCAGAAACCAUUAUCACAAGGCUAAGAUCAAGGUGUGGCUCCCUUUGGGGACUCCAUUUCUCACCUCGUCCAGUUUCUGGUUCCUGCUGACAUUCCUUGACUUGUGGCCACAUCCCUCCCAUUUCUGCUUUCAUGGUCACAGGAUCUCCUCUCAUAUGUGCACCCCCUCUCCUCCUGCCCGUCUCUCAGAAGGAUACUUGGGAUUUGGUUCAAGACUAAUUCAGAUGACCCAGGAUGAUCUCCUCCUCUCAAGAUCUUCAACCACAUCUGCAAUGACCCUUUUUCUGGUUCCUAGGAUUAGGAGCAAAUAUCUUUUGGGGACAAAGAUGAUUCAACCAAUUGCAGGUUGUGAAGAAAAAACACCAAGUCCCUGGCCUGGAAGUCCUUAGAUUUUAGGCUAGAAAAGCCAGGAAGCCUGUCAGCACAUAAAACAAUGCCAUGCUCUACAAAAUUCUGGGAAGAACAAUCCAGCUCCUUCAGACACUGUCCCCAGACCUCAGGGCUGAGCCAUGUGACAGGAGGGCAGUGGGCCCCAUCCAGCUGCCCUGGCCCUAUUCUGGCCACACAGGCAGAACCACAGUGUCUCUCAGCUGCAAACCUGUGUUUUGUGGCUCACAUCUGCCGCAGGUGAUUGCUGGGGUCCCUGUGACUUGAUGAGUGAGGACAGGACCUUUCCAGAUGUGGGGUGCAUGCAGUCUGGCUGCCCUGAGGAUGGGCAGGCUCUGUAGGGCUCAGCUGCAGUCUCAGCACACUUCCUUUCCAAGUGCGAACCCCACUGGGGACACUCACUGACCCACAGGGGCACGUGUCAGGGAUUCCAAAACUCCCCAGUUCUGAGUAGGUGCCACGGGGUUGCAGUGAUGAUGACUUUGGCUGAGGGAGGAUUCCUCAGGGGAGGGCAUGGCAGCCAUCAUGUGAAUCCCCAAAAUGUCACCUCCAUAUUUAGUGUCUGAGCUGGUAGAGCCAUUUUAUCGGUAAGCCUGGCCUCAGAGGUACAUCUAGAAAAGGCCUGCAGAGAAGGGACCAGAAUAGGGAGUCCUCAACACCUCGAGGUCACACGAUGCAUUUCAGCACAGGAGUGCUUCCCCUCUCCUCAGGUCUCUCUGCCAGGCGUACACUGGCUAGUCUUAUGUUUCAGAUCUUACUCCUCCUCCAUGAAUGGGAGGGGAAACCGAGCCCCAGGGAGUGAUACAACCCAUCCAGAACCCUACAGGUGCCAGCAGACCAGCCUGCCAUGCCCGCUCACACCUGAAUUGACAUGCAAUUUGCAAAUAACCCCUUCCCCUGCUUUUCACCCCUCCUCUCGUUCACCCUCCUCCACUCACAUCCACCCACAGGACACUGGGAAACUCUGAACGGACCUUGUCCUGCCCAGCACCUGAGCAGAGCCACAGCCAAGGGAGCCAAGCCCCCUCCCUCUGGCCCCCAGGAGUGUAGGCGGCCCUCGCCAGUCAAGCACUUAGUACCUUUGUUGUGAAAGAGAGGGGUCAUCAGGCCCGUUUCCUCAUCCUCCUUAGAGGGGAGAGCUGUUGAGGCAGGUCCACCAAAGUUGAAGGAGGGCUUUGAACUCUGCCGCAAAUGGCUGGAGAGAGACAGCCUGGCCCUAGGCCCCAGGCACCGCCACAGGACAGAGAAUCAGGUUGGGAAUGUCAGGACCAUUGUGCCAGGAAGCAGCACAGCGCUGUGCCUCUGAAGCCAGGCUUCAGAGAGAGUGGGACAGAGCUACCCUGCCCUGUCCUUGUGACCUUGGCAAGAGCCCCUGUGGGCACUCAGUGGCCCCUUUUGGGAAAUCAGUAUAACAGCGGAUCUCUCAGAGGGCUGCUAUGACAUGAGAGAUGAUUUCAGCCUAGCUUCUAACACACACUCAACACUAAUUAAAUGAGAGAAUAUAUUGUUAUUGUUGUUUCUAUUCCAUGACCUUGAGAAAGUCACUUCCUCAGGCCCCCUGGUACUUGGACAGACUUAGUGUUUGUUCGUCUCACAGUGGGCACUUUCAGGGCAGGAUGCAGGCCUGUGAUGGGAUGGGCUGUCCAGGUAGGCAUUUCUGCCCCCAUUUCACAGACAAGCAAACUGAAGUGAAGGGAGGUUCAGAAACACACCUGGGUCACCUGAUGAAUUAGUGAUUGGUAGGAAACCAGAACCCUGGUGUCCUAAGACUGCUGCAUGCCAUGGUACAGGAAUCCUGGCAACACCUAGGGAGAGGGCAUCGCCUCUCCUACCCCCAGUCCUGGAUGUGUUCAGGAGAUGGUGAGGCUGUCCCCAGCACAGCCCAGGCUGUGGCAGCCACAAGGCUCAGAGGUGCAGGUUUGGGUCCUGACAAUGCAACGCAAUGGGGCCGGCCUGGGGACCAUGCAGGAGGAGGGAGCACCUAGACCCCGCUGACCCCUGCCAACCUCCCAGGCUCCAAAUCUGGAAACUGUAGAGAUGAGCCCUGCCCACUGCAGAGCAUUCGUGAGGAGUUUGUGUCCCCAGAUGUUACCAGAUUUGAGCUAUUUCCUCCAGAUUGUUUGAACAAACCUGUGACUUUUGACCCAUCCUGGUCUGACUGGCUUUAGAGGGUGAGCUUCUCCCCGCUUUUGAGGUACCCAGCCCACAGACGUUCUCCGGGAGUUGGUGAUGGACAGGGAAGCCUGGUGGGCUUCAAUCCAUGGGGUCACAGAGUUGGACACGACUGAGCGACUGAACUGAACUGAACUGAACAGAGCCCAUAGAAAGUACCGCCCCUCUGGCCUCGCCUUCCUCCUCUUCAAGCAUCACCUGGAAAGAGCUGAGGAGAAAAAACCCUUGUUGUUUCUGGUGGGGGAGCCAGUAGAAGGUAUGGCUGCUUCACGGGGGUUUCUGCCUGUCUCCAUAGGCAGCUCCUCAACCCCACUCCCAUCAGCCCAAAACUUCAGUAGCACUGAAUCUAGUCCUAGCACAGGGGUCAGCCUGACAAUACUGUAGUCUCCCUGCCCCAAAUCAUGGCCUGGCCUCUGUGGCUGAGUGAUGGAAGAGGGUAGAGUGUGUGUGUGGUCACUGCAAGGGUGACCUUCAGGGCCCAGGCCCAAGGACAGGCUGCAGAGCUGCACCACCCAGGGUGCCCAGGGCAUCAGGUCUACUCUCAGAUCAGCUGUUGUUGCAAAGUGCCCCUGGUCGGUCUUACAUCUUUAAAAGUAGCGCUGCCAUGUGGAAAUGAGUGAACCUCAAACAUUGUUUGAUUCUUGAUCCCAUGGCUGGGUGGUCACCACGCCUCCAUCCAGGCCCCACUGGGCACAAAGCUAGAAGAGACAUCUAGACUCCAUCUCUCUGUCUCUCCUGCAGUUUGGAGUGUGCCUGACUUGUGACCAGCAGAAUGCAGGGGAGAAAUGUGGGCACCUCCAGGCCACCCAAGAAAACCACCUGCACACUCCUCUAGGCCCUCUGCCUCCACCUGCCUGUGAACAGAGCAGGCCAUAAGGGUUGGGGAGGGUGAGUACCAGAUGGAAGGAUCCUGGGAUCCUGAGGUGCCUCUGGCCAAGAGCCACCCUGCCAGGACUUCUAGUCAGGAACCCCUUGUUGGGGUUCUGUAUCAAUGAAAGGAAACUUCCAGAGCUUUAAGCCAAGUGCAUACCACAAGCCCAACCAAGCCUGUGAGCUCCAGCUUGUUUUUACAUUUGUGAAAAAUGACUUAAAGAAUAGUACUCUGUGACACAGGAAAAUGAUGUGAAAUCAAAAUUUCAGUGUCCAUCAGUGCAGUCUGAUUGAAGACAGCCAUACCCAUGACCCCUCUUAGUGUCUGUGGCUGUUUUCACACCCCAGCUACAGAGAUGAGCACAUUCAGGAGCUUUUCUGAAGGGAUGGGAUUGAAUAGUUUUAAGACUUUGGUAUAAGGUAAAGUUGCUUUUUGGAGGAUUAUACUAAAUUACGUUUCCACUGACCAUUUUCCACUCCCUGCCAAUCCCAGGUGUGUGAUACACACUCCCCUGUAGAAUGAGGGUUGAAACAAAAACAGAGCCUGUCACUCAUCCUCCCUUCUACAAAGGCUAAAUUACAGCCCACUGCUGUUACCCACCAAUGGUGCCCCUGAGGAUGGAAAAACAGGAUGAGGCAUGCUGUGCUUUGGAUACAGGCACCUAGAUAGACCACAUGCAUAUCUAAAGAAUUUCAAAGGCCCCAAAUUCCUGCAUCUUCCCAUUUACGGAAAUGCACUAAAAGCAUAAACUUGGGAGAUCUAUUUUUUAUGAUGUGUGAUAAUCUUUUGAUGUGCAACUACAUGUUUUUCUUUUCUAGCAAAAACUCCUAUGUACACUGACUCCUGUCUCAGAGCUAUCUGAGAUGCCAGCUCCAAGUCUAUAGUCCUCAGUAAGGUCCCCAAAUAAAACCGAAACAAGUCAUGUGAGUUUUUUAGGCGACAAGGGUAAGAUUUCCAACCUCUUGGGCAGUGGUAGCGCUGAAGUAUCUGUGAACAUACCCUGUGCUUGAUAAAGUGUCUACUUCAAGGCACCUAGGCACCUUUCUCCGGGCUGAUCUGAAACAUAGAUGUUUCUGAUACUGAAGGCUGGCCCUGGAGUAACUUCUCCUUAUUCAGUCAUGGGGUUACUUUGAGAGUGUCUGUGGAUGGUACUUUCUCCUUCUGACAGGUGGCAGAGGCCCCGAACUUCUCUGUGACUGUGCCUCCCUCCAUCCCCUGCGUUUCCACGGCGCCCCCACACUCUGUUGGAAGUAGAACACGUUAGAUGGUACAGAAUUUUUACUUAUAAUAAGAAAUAUGUAUCUAGUCUUCAAUCUGUUUCUGGCACAUAAUCCUAAAACCUUAGAAUUUUCCAGUGAUAAGAGCAGUAAAGAUCUGUCUUGUAAUGCUGAUGAGGUGACUUUCAGACUUCACCUAAGGAUGGGGGCUGGUUAUCAGGAGAACCAACCAUGUGAUUAGAGGGUUGGAACUUUUAGUCUGGGAGGGGAAAGGGGCCGGAGAUUGACUCAGUCAUCAAUGACCAAUUAGUUAAUAUGUCAUGCCUAUGUAAUGAAGCCUUUAUAAAAACCCAAAAGGACAGGAUUCAGAGUGCUUUCAGGCUGGUGAACACGUGGAGAUUCUGGGAGAGUGGGGAGCUUGGAGAGAGCAUGGAAGCUCCAUUCUAGGCCCUUUCUCCAUACCUUGUCCUAUGCAUCUCUUCCAUCUGGCUGUUCCUGAGUUCUAUUCUUUAAUAAUAAAUCAGUCGUCUUUUGAGUAAAUGGGUUUCCUGAGUUCUAUGACCUAAUUAGUUGAACCCAAGGAAGGGGUCAUGCUGGUCAACUGACAACUGACAUCUGACAUGUGUGUUAGGGCAGAGAGGGCAGUCUUGUGGGACUGAACCCUUAACCUGUGAGGACGGAUGCUGUCUCUGGGUAGAUGGUGUCAGAACUGAACUGAACUGUAGGACACCAGUUGGUGUCUGAGAAUUGCUUGGUGGUGUGGGAACCCCCUCCACAUACAAAUUUUGGAAUUGGUCCAGAACUGUUAGAAGACGGGCAAGGGAACCUAAGUAUGUCUGCAGUGGAGAAUUAUACAGAUGAAAAUCAGUUCUCAACACUGGAAGAAUGAGAACACCGGACUGCAAGCUGGCACAUCCCUGAAAAAACCAAGAGCCUUCCAUCUCGUUUGAAAUUUCCUGCUGGUGUGAUGGCCAAGGAGGAUUCAUAAAGUUGGGAGGCAGUGGCUAGAGCACCUGAACUCCAGCACACAAACUGGUCAGGAGCUAAAGGAAGGAAGGAAACUAUUUUUGGAAGCUGGUUAAAUGUAAAAGUAUGAAGCACAUACGGGAAUUCUAUCCAGCAACAUCCACAGUGCUCUGACGAACUUGCAGAGAAGAAGGAGAGGGAAAGGGGCAGAGACAUGCUGAGCCAGUUCUUACUAUCCAUGUGGCCGAUUGCUAGAUACUACUUAGGAACUUUGCAAGCCUGCUGUUCAACCACUGGUAACUUAAAUUCAGCCAUGGUGGAAGGAAUCAUACUCCAGAAAUGGGCAGACGCUGCAGAUCAAGGCUCCAUGUAUUUUUUCCCAGAGAUCUAAUUUACCAGCACACCACUGGGUAUAAGGAGUAGAGGAGUGAAAAAGAGUCUGUUCAGAAUGAAGGCAAUGUCCGGCAGAGAAAGAGCCUCCACUCAGAGGAGGAGCAGCAGGAAGAAGAGCAACAAACAUACAAAAAGGUUAAGGAAUCAGAAGAUUAUUAUCUGGUCUUCCAGCAGGACUCUCCCUGGGGUCAAGGCAGAGCCCCAGGGACACUCGCUUAACAAAGACUGAAGAUGGGCCAUCCUGGCCAACCCAGGUCCCUUUCCGGAGAAGAAUCCAACAGCUGCUGUACCUUGCAGGCUGGGGGGUGCCAGACACAGAGCAGGUGUGCAUGCUCCACCGCAGAUGGCAAGAGGGCAGUGACUGUGAGGCAGGUGGCUACCACUGGGAGUCUGGCUCCUGCUGGCUGCAUUGUCACACCCCUUGGGGAACCCUUGGCAGGUGUCUCCCAUGGGGGUGAGGGAGGCAAGGAUGUUGAAAACUCACUAGGCUUCUGUUUGCAUUUCUUUUGCCAGAUGUAGCCACUUGCAUGGACAAGUAUUAUUAGAAUGACUUACCUGGAUUUAGCUAGUCAGGAUAAAUUAAAAAUCUUCUUGGCUUUCAAAGGUGCUUUUGAAUUUUAUAGUAAGGCUCUGUGCUUUGCUGCAAUCAAGAUUCAAAUACCAAAAAAAAAAAAACAAAAACAGUAGUUGGAAGCGAUGAUUCAUUUAAACAGCACAUUCACUGAUUCUGAAAUAGAGCGUGGAUCUCUCUUUCUACAUAAAACUCAUUUUACCUCCCUCUGAGGAUUCAGAGUCAUCAGGGAACUUAGACCUGAAUGCCAGCUCAUUCAAGCCAUGCUCACAGUUUUGUUUCUGUAGACCCAAAGAGCAGGAUGCCCUAACAUUAGCACUAACAGCUCCUUCUCUGCCUGACUCCUUGCUUCAGCUGCCUUGACUUGACUGCAAAUGGUUCUCCCCAGUGCAGUAUGGCCUAUCUUCUGAAAAUUUUAUUAGAGCCAAUUAGCUCCUCAAAGGAAUAUUGUAAAAAUACCCACAAAGUAUGUCCAGGCGACAUCUACCUUCAAAUGUUCUGCCAAGAAGCUGUGACAUAUGCAGAGUGCAUCUUCAGGACACAGCUUGCAGCCGCCUUCUUCCCUGAAGCUGCUUCUGGAAGCAUCCUUGCCACCUGGACUGGGACAGACAGGCAGAUGGGAUGGAAAACAGCAGGGCACCACGAUGUUCUUG